rnacentral:rRNA from 1 species
GCAAGUCGAGGGGUAACAUUGGUGCUUGCAUCAGAUGACGACCGGCGCACGGGUGCGUAACGCGUAUAGAACCUACCUUUUACAGGAGAAUAGCCUUUAGAAAUGAAGAUUAAUGCUCCAUAGUAUUAAGAAAUCGCAUGAUUACUUAAUUAAAGAUUUAUCGGUAAAAGAUGGCUAUGCGUCCUAUUAGUUAGUUGGUAAGUUAAUGGCUUACCAAGACAGCGAUAGGUAGGGGUCCUGAGAGGGAGAUC